GCCCGAGUGGUCUGCGUGGACCCCAAGAGGAGUGCGACGGGUCUCAGAUCCCAUGCCGCGGGGAAAUUCUGUUACUUUAGUUUGGUUGGUUUGGAGGACUCGCGAAAGAAGUGAGGCAAUGUUUGAAGAAAAAGAUCACGCGCCGCCAGAUGAGAGAAAAUUGGUCCCCUACAGCAAGUUGCUUCCCUGGCCAACCCAAAGGUUCUAAGAUUACCAUCUAUCUGAAUCACAGCAGGGAAGAGGAGGCUCACAGAAGCCAUGUGAAGAUACAGCAAGAAGACCUCACCAGAAACCAACCCUGCCAGCAUAUUGACCUUGGACUUCCAGCCUCUAGAACUGUGAGAAAAUAAAAUGUUUAAGCCA